rnacentral:rRNA from 1 species
AUGAUGCCAGCUUGCUGGUGGAUUAGUGGCGAACGGGUGAGUAACACGUGAGUAACCUGCCCUUGACUCUGGGAUAAGCCUGGGAAACUGGGUCUAAUACCGGAUAUGACCUUCCAUCGCAUGGUGGUUGGUGGAAAGCUUUUGUGGUUUUGGAUGGACUCGCGGCCUAUCAGCUUGUUGGUGGGGUAAUGGCCUACCAAGGCGACGACGGGUAGCCGGCCUGAGAGGGUGACCGGCCACACUGGGACUGAGACACGGCCCAGACUCCUACGGGAGGCAGCAGUGGGGAAUAUUGCACAAUGGGCGCAAGCCUGAUGCAGCGACGNCGCGUGAGGGAUGACGGCCUUCGGGUUGUAAACCUCUUUCAGUAGGGAAGAAGCGAAAGUGACGGUACCUGCAGAAGAAGCGCCGGCUAACUACGUGCCAGCAGCCGCGGUAAUACGUAGGGCGCAAGCGUUAUCCGGAAUUAUUGGGCGUAAAGAGCUCGUAGGCGGUUUGUCGCGUCUGCCGUGAAAGUCCGGGGCUCAACUCCGGAUCUGCGGUGGGUACGGGCAGACUAGAGUG